GGGGGGGAGAGGGGGAAGUUUUGGCACCGGAGGAGGAUUGCUAGAGCCCGCCGAGGUGCGCCGACCCCUCGCAGAGAGGGGCCCGUCCCGGCACGCCGGCAGCAGCAUCAGCAUUAGAUCAGCGCUGGCGCUGCGGCUCGUGUUUCCCUUGCUAGCUGAAGAUAUUUGAUUAAACUCGGCUAUCGCUGACCGACCUCUUGGCUCAGGCUCUGACACUCUGUGACUUAGACCUGCCGAGUCCCUCUCUUUCGCGGUUUUACUCCGGCUAACAAAGCCUGGGCUGCGGAGGAAAACCUGCUUCCUGGUGCACCCACUCUGCUGCUUUGCCCUAACUGCCCCCGAGUCCUAAGAGACGGGGAUCGAAGUUUCUUCACCGUGGUUUCUUCGCCGUCUCCGCGCCCUCCUCUUCUUGCUGCCACCUCAGAGGUGCACUGUGCGGCUUCGGACAGGAUGGGCCGCGCUCCUCCGUCUCCGACUCACCUACCUCUUCCACAGGCAUGGAUGUGGCUGUCCGGUUUCCUGAGUUGUGUGUUAUCCCUGCACUGUCUCAGUGAUGCUGUAGGCUUUUGUGCUUUACUCUUUACCUAACUGCUGACUCUAAAAAAUAUCCAGAUGCUCAUGAACAUCUUGAAGCUCAUUGAAUUUCCUCUUUCACAACCUUACUCCUUCCAUGCCACAAACUUCUUCAGGGUGCUUGGACAUUCUGGCAUUUCAGUACCACCUUGUAGUGGGAUUCAGAAUAAUAGCUCUUAUUUCUUGUAACUCUAACCAGAAACUUCACUUCUGUUUGCCUUUAGGAAGCCAGAAGAAAAUAUCUACCAUUGAUCAAGGGAUCUUUGAACUCAGUGAAUUCUUGAUUGUAUUCAGUCAUUGUUCAUGGUAUUAAUCCUACUAAAAGGUAUAGAGACGCUCCAGAGUGCUUUGUGGUGUUGAAGGUUGUGGAAAGAUCAUUGUACCCCUACAGAUGAAUAGAUCUGUGGCUUUUGCAGUGACCUUUCUCAGUGAUUUGAAUAAGCUGCAGUUCCCAGAAAUCCAUCUGCCUUUUGUGUUUGUCGAUUUGUCUAAUCUUUCCGACCCCUAAAAGAAGCAAAAAGUACCUUCCCAUCCGAUUUCAUCCUCCCGAGUAAAAGCAUUAAAUUGACCUCAUUUCAGGUGAUGAACUGACAUUUGCUGAAAGUGAUCCUGGCAUCAGGUGAGCUUUCCGGGGAGACAAGGAGGGGGUGUGAGCAGGGAGUCAGAAGGCAGCGGCCCUAGAAAUCUCUCAGUAACUCCAAAGAUAGUAUUUAAAACACCAACAAGUAGCCUGGACCAAACAGCUUGGCAGUGCAGUGCUGAACACAAGGGGUGUUACAUGCACAAAAGGUGAACAUCCCCAGGCCCUGCUGCUCCAGCCUAACCUGACUGGGAGCACAGUAGGGGAGGAGGCACACAACCAAAACUGGGGCAGAUGCUGCUGUCCCUCCUGUUUUGUUUUCUUACUUUAUGAAAGGUACAAAAAUCUUCUCUGUAGCUUUCCUGGGGACAGAUUAUGGUAGCCAGCCUCCUCCUGACGUAAAGUGUUUCUCUGGUUUUCUAGUAACCUAUCAAAACUUAACCAGCAGAGUGUAUCAACCUAUGUCUCAGAUAACCUCUGGGAGAGGGAAAUUACUAGAAGUGAAUUUAAGUCUAGAUUUAUAUAAAUGAGCAGACAUACAGGGAUGUGUGUAUACAUACAUAUGAACACACACACACAUUAUAUAUAUACACACCCACACACAUCCAUCCCUUUCUUCAUGCUUUCUAUAUAAGGAAAUAAUACGCAUAUCCUUUAUAUUUUCAUGUAAUGUCAGUGGCUGCAGCUGUUAACACAGGAUAUUCCUUAGAAAACAAACAAACAAUGAACCAAAACUUAUUUUAGAGAAGUUUAUUUUUAAGACUAAUGAUUUUCUUGUAGAAUUCUUUUUUUUCUGCCUAGGUACUUUUUUCCCUCCUUGAAUGGCAUAUUUGCAAGUACAAUUUCAUCUGCACAGAGGAACAAUAGCUUUCAGUUGCACAAAGGAUUUCUCCCACCCUGAAUCCAAACCACAAUGCCUCUUGCUCUGAUAAUAGCUUCUGAAAAGAUUUUGUAAUGCACAGAAUUAAUACAUGAUUAUUUCCGCCUCACUUCUCUCAUUUAUUAGAUUCUAUAGUGAAUUCCAAAUUAAAAAUAGCACCUCUUGAGUUUCUUAACGUUCUAAUAUUUUGAAACAAAUCAUAUUCUGAAGUUCCUCUUUUUGCCCAUAUUUACUAAGAAAUCUUCAAUUUUUUAUUAUUGUUCAGAAGCAAAGCUGUGUAAUAUAAAUGUAAAAAUCAAAGCAUGCAAAAAUUGCAAAAAAAAAGAUAAUGUUGAGUUGUUUAAAAAUUAAUUGUAGUGAUUUUUCCAUUGCUAACUGGAAGAGUGGUCAGGUGCAGUAACUGGCAAAUUGGGUUUGAAAUCUUUUUAAAUUUAUGAAGCAAAACAAAACCUCAAGUUCAGUUAGAAUUUUGCAAGGACCAGAAUCAUGCCCUAUGUCCUAAAGUAAAUAAUGAAGUGUAAUUCUGCUGAGGCAUCUGGAUGGUGAGCUUCCACAUCACUGCCUGGGGAGCUUCCCUCUGCUCUUACAAAGACUUUCUCCAACACUUCCAGCAUAGGUGUGAGAACUUAUUUACAUGAAAGCGUACAUUAAAUAUUUACUGACAUUUGCCUGGAAUUCGUUUGAAAUGUCGACUGUUCUGCUGCAUCAUGGGAUGACACCGCGGAACGGGACGCUGCUCUUUGAUUAGAACAGUGAUUUGUGACUCCAGUGUUAUGGCUGCUCUAGUUAAUGACUCACUUUUGGGUGUAUAGAAAAUGUGUUCUGUCGAGGGACCGGGAAAGCCUACAUGAGAUCAGACACUAAGAAUUUUCUUUCCUCUUAAAAAACCCACAGACCCUCACAGAAACUGUACUUCAAGUAAACACUGUGUGUGUUAGGUGUGCUGUUGUUCUUUGCUUUCUAGCAUUUUAGCUAGGUCGGGCUGUUUCAAAGCAAGGCUGGAUGAACACCUCCAAAGCAUCUUCAUUCAGAUUCACUUUCUAAGCCAUUCAUUUAGGAAUUAGUUGUUUUUCCUUCAUUGGGACUUCAUUGAUACUCCACACUUUUCAAAGGAGAAAAUCAUUCAGAGGAAUGUCAAUAUAAUCUGUUAUGUGAAGUGUAAAAAAUGCAUACUUACA